AUUGAACGCUGGCGGCAGGCUUAACACAUGCAAGUCGAACGAGUGGCGGACGGGUGAGUAAUGUCUGGGAAACUGGCUGAUGGAGGGGGAUAACUACUGGAAACGGUAGCUAAUACCGCAUACCAUCCGAUGAGCCCAGAUGGGAUUAGCUGGUGGGUGGGGUAAAGGCUCACCAAGGCGACGAUCCCUAGCUGGUCUGAGAGGAUGACCAGCAAAACUGGAACUGAGAAACGGUCAAGACUCCUACGGGAGGCAGCAGUGGGGAAUAUUGCAAAAUGGGGGAAAGCCGGAGGCAGCCAUGCGGCGUGUAUGAAGAAGGCCUUCGGGUUGUAAAGUACUUUCAGCGGGGAGGCGUUACCCGCAGAAGAAGCACCGGCUAACUCCGUGCCAGCAGCCGCGGUAAUAC
rnacentral:rRNA from 1 species